rnacentral:lncRNA from 1 species
GAAUUCUCCUUCAGAAGUGCGGAUGCUUCUCUGCCGUCCCGCUCAAGGAACACUUCCAGCAGUAUCAGAGAAAAUAGGCCAACUGACCUGCAGCUGAAGCAUGACUGAUCAAGUCAAAGGAGCAUUUCAAUGAAGGUCUUCUCCUGGGGGGACCGAACAUCUCAGAGAAGUGCAUCAGUGCAUCAUCCCAGAGCAGGACGGAUCCUUCAGAAAGGGUUCUCUCAAGAACAGAAGGAGAGUCUGAAGUCUUAAUGGCAACUGGUUUCUGCGCUUUACUGGACUUUUACAGGACUGGAUGAAAAGAAUCCCAUAAGGACGAAUGGACUUCUCCACAAUCUCCCUCUCUUCACCAGGAGAGGUGCCAUCAGGAAUUGGAAUCAGCCAGUAGUCCUUUCUGCCACACACUUGUCUCAUCUCUGGAUUGAUCCUGUUCUGCAUGAUGACUCGUCAGAAAGACACUUCAGUGGCUCUUCUGUGUUCAUGCCUGAUCAAGCAGAACGAUCCGGAGACGAGAAAUGGGUUUAAUGGACGAGGGAAAAAGAAGCUUGUAAAGAAAAAAAAGACUUUAUGACUUGGACCGUCGGAAUAACAAGACAAAGCAGAGGAAGAAAGACACUUUUACAUGCUCAGGGUAAAUCGUAAUGAAUCCUGCUAACAAGACUGUCUUUUGUCUGUUUAUCAGUGACAUGUUGAAUAUACUGAAAGGGCUUUAUUAUUACUGCUCCUAUGGUAAACAUGCCUAUUGCUUACAGCUUCUUUAAGACCGUCUUGGAUACUUCGGUCAUUGAAUUUUACAAGAAAGAAAUUAUUUAAAGUUUAGAAUCAUUUUUGGGGGGGAACUAUCCCUUUAAACUGUCCCUUUAAGCCAAGAGAUGGAAAUCUCCAUGCUAUUGGAUUAAAUAAGCAUUUGCUGAAAUUUCAUCCAGUACAGUUGCCAUAUUGUUUCUCUUCUGAUUCCCUGAGAGGGAAG